rnacentral:rRNA from 1 species
UACGGAGGUGGCAAGCGUUGCUCGGAAUCACUGGGCGUAAAGGGCGCGUAGGCGGGGAGGUAAGUCGGGUGUGAAAUCCCUCGGCCCAACCGAGGAACUGCGCCCGAGACUGCUUCUCUUGAGUCCCGGAGAGGAAGAUGGAAUUCCCGGUGUAGCGGUGAAAUGUGUAGAGAUCGGGAGGAACACCGGUGGCGAAGGCGGCCCCCUGGGACGGUACUGACGCUGAGACGCGAAAGCGUGGGGAGCGAACAGG